UAGGGAAUUUUCCACAAUGGGCGAAAGCCUGAUGGAGCAACGCCGCGUGUGUGAUGAAGGGUUUCGGCUCGUAAAACACUGUUGUAAGAGAAGAAUGACAUUGAGAGUAACUGUUCAAUGUGUGACGGUAUCUUACCAGAAAGGAACGGCUAAAUACGUGCCAG
rnacentral:rRNA from 1 species